rnacentral:rRNA from 1 species
UGAGUACGAGCUGCUACGGCAGCGAAGUGGGUGAUGUCAUGCUUCCAAGAAAAGCCCUAUACCCGUUAAGGCAUGAUGGCCUGUACCCGAAACCGACACAGGUGGGGUGGUAGAGAAUACCGAGGGGCGCGAGGUAACUCUCUCUAAGGAACUCGGCAAAAUGGCCCCGUAACUUCGGGAGAAGGGGUGCCACCGCAAGGUGGUCGCAGUGAAGAGGCCCAGGCGACUGUUUACCAAAAACACAGGUCUCCGCUAAGUCGCAAGACGAUGUAUGGGGGCUGACGCCUGCCCAGUGCCGGAAGGUUAAGGAAGCUGGUCAGCGUAAGCGAAGCUAGCGACUGAAGCCCCGGUGAACGGCGGCCGUAACAAUAACGGUCCUAAGGUAGCGAAAUUCCUUGUCGGGUAAGUUCCGACCCGCAAAAGGCGUAACGAUCUGGGCGCUGUCUCGGAGAGAGGCUCGGCGAAAUAGAAUUGUCUGUGAAGAUGCGGACUACGUGCACCCGGACAGAAAGACCCUAUGAAGCUUUACUGUAGCUUGGUAUUGUGCUCGGGCUCGGAAUGCGCAGGAUAGGUGGGAGGCUAUGAACCAUUGCUUGCGGGUGAUGGUGAGCCACUGUGAGAUACCACUCUUUCCGAGCUAGAGUUCUAACAGCCACCCGUUAUCCGGGGGCUGGACAGUAUCAGGUGGGCAGUUUGACUGGGGCGGUCGCCUCCUAAAAGGUAACGGAGGCGCGCAAAGGUUUGCUCAGGCUGGUUGGAAAUCAGCCGACGAGUGUAAAAGCAGAAGCAAGCUUGACUGUGAGACCUACAAGUCGAACAGGGAGGAAACUCGGCUUUAGUGAUCCGACGGUUCUGCGUGGAAGGGCCGUCGCUCAACGGAUAAAAGUUACUCUAAGGAUAACAGGCUGAUCUCCCCCAAGAGUUCACAUCGACGGGGAGGUUUGGCACCUCGAUGUCGGCUCAUCGCAACCUGGGGCUGAAGUCGGUCCCAAGGGUUGGGCUGUUCGCCCAUUAAAGCGGUACGCGAGCUGGGUUCAGAACGUCGUGAGACAGUUCGGUCCAUAUCCGGUGCAUGCGCAGGAAUAUUGAGAGGAUUUCUCCCUAGUACGAGAGGACCGGGAGGAACGCACCUCUGGUGUACCAGUUAUCGUGCCAACGGUAAACGCUGGGUAGCCAUGUGCGGAGAGGAUAACCGCUGAAAGCAUCUAAGUGGGAAGCCCACCUCAAGAUGAGUAUUCCCAUGGGGUAACCCAGUAAGGUCACGGGAAGAACACCCGUUGAUAGGCUCUACGUGGAAGCGCAGUAAUGUGUGAAGCGGAGGAGUACUAAUAGACCGAGGGC